UCUUUGCACCACGCAGUUGAUAAAUACUUGGGUUUUAGGUUGCAGUUACAGAUGAAACAAUUUUGAGCAUAACCAGCGAUGAUAACAUGCGCUUGAGUCUAGCGAGUUGCUCUAAAUAUAACUCGGUUGCUUUGAAGAUACACAGGGACAAAGAACUGGCCAAUCGCCUUGUAAAAUUCUUAAUUAACAAGCAACACCCAGUAUGCCCUGGCCCAAGCUCUACCCAUGAUGCUUUACGUACCUCGAGCUCACGGAUCCUCUUCCUGAGUGAUUCCACAAGGUUGUUGCUGUCCUCAAGUUUCCCGCUCAGCUCAACGAUGUUAGCGUCUCGCCUGAUGGAGAAGAAAGUGUUGCGAUUCAUUUAGUUAAAUGUAAUGUUACAUUAUCGACUCAGACUUGCGUGACACUGUUAUAUCCUGGCUUAAAUUGUUGCUAUAUAUAAUAUAUAAUUUGAGGUAUUACUGGCUUUUUUAACCUUUCCCCCAGGAGUGUGGUCAAAAGGAUUACUAAGGAACGUCCCAACUAAAAAUAACGGCAAGAAACAAGAUUGAUAACAUUAUGUAACAUUUGGUCACGCCACAGUCGCCAAUUGGGGCACACAUAGUUUAGGCCUCUUUGAUGUAUCUAUUUAAAAGGUUUGCAAUCAUUACCAGGAGCGCAAACUGACCUAAAGGAAACAAAAGCUUGCCAGGGGAAGAUAAAGGGAAUCUACCAAGAAUAAAAAAGACUCCCAGAAAA